UUUGUGUUUGUUUUGAAGUGUGGUAGAUGGGGUAUAUGCAUGUUUGAGACCCCUAGGAACUUGUAUGUGUGUUUUGGUUGAGAAAUAUGCAUGAUUUAUGGUUUUGGGAGGCAGGAGGUUCAUUUGAACCAAGUUUCUGCCAUUUGGCAGAAACCAGGUUCGGCAGCCGAAGGGAGUUUCGGCCGCCGAACCCCUCUUGUGGAGGCAGCUUUCGGCUGCCGAAGGUGCCCCCGAAAAGAGACUUUCGUCUCUGUCUGGCACUUUCGGCCGCCGAAGGUGCCGCCGAACCUAGCUGAGUUUCGUCUCUGUCCAGGACUUUCGGCCGCCGAAGGUGCCGCCGAAGGUGCCCUGUUCAGCCAUUUCAUGCAUAUUUUCUGUGAUGUUUUCAUGAUGUUUUAGGGGGUUUUUGGGGGAUAUAUUAGAGUUAUGUUUAUAUAUGUUUGGUCCCUCAUUGGAGUCCACCUGUGUAGGUUCGGACCCGAGGAACCGAGGACCCCAGCAGUGAGUGAGCUGCUUCAGUGUCUGGUCAGAGCUAACCAGAGGUGAGUGGAAACAAGCUUAAUGUUUUAAAUCAAGUAAUUAAAUGUUUUGAGCAUGCUUCACGCAUCAUGAUGAUAUGUAAUAGGUUGAUUGCAUUAGUUCACGAAUAUGUUGCAUUGCAUUUUCCUUUGCGCUUGUGGGUGAAUGCUGUAUGAUCCAAUUAGUCCACGAGACUUUAUAGAUGUUAUGACAGGAAGACCAGGACCCCAUGCUACGGCCUGGCACGAGACUUAACAGAUAUAUAAUGUGACAGGAAGACCAGGACCCCAUGCUACGGCCUGGCACGAGGCUUUAUGUAUGUUAUGACAGGAAGACCAGGACCCCAUGCUACGGCCUGGCACGAGACUUUAUAGAUGUUAUGACAGGAAGACCAGGACCCCAUGCUACGGCCUGGCAAGAGACUAUGUUGGGACUAAUUGGUGACAGGUUCACCCUUGAUGUGAAUUGUCUGUGAUAUGAUGCAUUUCAUGAUAGCAUGAACUUUAAUAUAAUGUUUUUAGUUUCUGCUCACUGGGCUUUUAGCUCACCCCUCUCCCCUAACCCCCAGGUUUGCAGGUACGGGAUUGAUAGAGAAGAAAGGAAGAGAAAAGUCAUAUGUAUGUAAUAGCUAGAGUAUGUGGACAUGACAAUGAUAAGAAUGUAAUGUAAAGUUUGAACAGUUAUGUUUAUGUA
rnacentral:lncRNA from 1 species